CCUACGGGAGGCAGCAGUGGAGAAUAUUGGGCAAUGGGCGCAAGCCUGACGCAGCAACGCCGCGUGAAGGAAGAAGGCUUUCGGGUUGUAAACUUCUUUUGACAGGGAAGAGUAGAAGACGGUACCUAUCGAAUAAGCCACGGCUAACUACGUGCCAGCCGGCGCGGUAAUACGUAGGUGGCACGCGUGGUCCGGAUUUACUGGGUGUAAAGUGCGUGUAGCCGGGUUGACAAGUCAGAUGUGAAAUCCUGCGGCUUAACCGCAGAACUGCAUUUGAAACUGUUGAUCUGGAGUACUGGAGAGGCAGACGGAAUUCUUGGUGUAGCGGUGAAAUGCGUAGAGAUUAGGAGGAAUACAAGUGGCGAAGGCGGUCUGCUGGACAGCAACUGACGGUGAGGCGCGAAAGCGUGGGGAGCAAACAGGAUUAGAUACCCCGGUAGUC
rnacentral:rRNA from 1 species